UACGUAGGGGGCGAGCGUUGUCCGGAAUUAUUGGGCGUAAAGAGCGUGUAGGCGGUUCGGUAAGUCCGCUGUGAAAGUCGGGGGCUCAACCCUCGGAUGCCGGUGGAUACUGUCGGACUAGAGUACGGAAGAGGCGAGUGGGAUUCCUGGUGUAGCGGUGAAAUGCGCAGAUAUCAGGAGGAAACACCGAUUGCGAAGGCAGCUCGCUGGGACGUUACUGACGCUGAGACGCGAAAGCGUGGGGAGCAAACAGG
rnacentral:rRNA from 1 species